CUGUGCCAUUUCCUCAACUUUGGAAGAAGUAUGGGUGCCCAGAGCAAAGCUGUCAUAUCUGUGAAAAGAAUUUAAAAUGCUGCUUUGAAGAUGAACGCAAUAACAUUUUACAAGGGAGUAAAUAACCGGCUUCCUUCCUUUUAAUAGCCAGCAAGAAGCUUCUGAAAAUACUUUUUAUGAAGAGUCCACAGAGAUUGUCAUGUUGUUUCUCAAAUGCAUCUUCCGAUAUAUUUUUUUCACCCAUCAGGUUGCUCGAAUCUGCAACUUGUUAAUGUUCCAAGUGAACAGCCAAGAAGGGACCUCAGAUUAAUGGCAUUUACGCUGUUGGAAUAUCAGUAAGGAGAAGAGUGAAGCGAAAGGAGAUCUGAAUCCCAGAAUGGAAGCUUAGAGAAUGAAAAUUUCACUUCUCCGUUGGAGGCACACUGCAGGAGUAUUAAGAGCCAGAAAGUGAAACUGACUACAAUGUCUGGGAUGAACACACUGUAGGGAUUUCUGUAAAAGGCUGUAAUCCUGCAAAGGUUUAUUUAUCUAAUGUUUUCAUGUCUGUCAAGUUAAGCAUGUGCAUAUUACAUCUCUGCAAAAUUAGCAUCUAAAUCUGAAAAAUGUUUACACCAAAUUUUUUUUUUUUUUAGAAGAACAAAAUAGUUUUUGUCAAUAGCGGAUUGGCAAAAUAAUACAAGGGUUGGGCGUAGACUACUAGCAAGUGUCCUUUUAACCUGUCACCUUUCAUUUUCUCUCAUAUCUCUUCUCUGAAUGUCUUCAUACAGUGGCGCUAUUAUUUACUGCUUUUACAAUACUCAUAAUCAAACGAACAGUAAAGGGAGUUAGAGAUAAAGGUCACAACAAGAAGAUUGCACAAUAUAUACCUUUAAAGUCCACUGAAGUCAAUGGAAAGACUCUUCCCACUGAUGCAAGGAAACUCCUCAAAAGUAAAGGAGCAUAGGCAGACAGACUGCUUUGAAGUGGAAACCAUUGGAACUUCAUAACAAGCUGCCAGUGGGCAGCUACAGGAGCAAGAAGCCAGAUUUAUCCCCAUGGAGAGCACACAAAUUACCUCGGCUCUGAAUGACAGCAUAGGAAGCUGGAGUUCACAGAGGAAGCUAAGAAAUCAGGAAUUCAGAUUGUCUAAGUCAAAUGCUGCAAGUCCUUAAAGCACAGAACACUAAAAACGGAGAUCACGAUAGCUAUAAGUGUAUUCAUCACCCAGCUCAAGCUAUAGUGCCGUCUCAACCCCUCCGGCACAUUAAACCACUUCAUUACCAGAGGCUGAAAGAACAGACAGAGAGGAACUUAGUGUCACUGAAUCUUGACAUCUGAAUCUCACUUUUACCUUUUAAGAAACAAGGUGGGUGAGUUAAUAUCUUUCAUUGGACCAACUUUUAUUGGUGAGAAAAGCUUUUGAGCCACACAGAGCUCUGCUUCAGGUUCUAUCUUGUGUAGUCAUAGUUUAUUGUGAAGAUGUUAUUUGUGUGCCAUGUUGAUGUCAGGGAACAAGUAGGCAAGGCAGAAAUUGGAGUAUCUUUUUACUGGACCUAUGAAUAGGUUAGAAAAGACAAGUUCUUGAGUGACAGGUCAUUAAGGGCUAAUGCCACAGCUGUCAGCUGAUCUCUAGAAAGUGGGCCUGAUUCUCAAUUGUCCUGAACCUGGUUCAGUUAUUUACCUUUAUGUAGAGUGCAUUACGGGUGUACAAUGCUACUGUUGUGAUUUGGUAAUACUUCAUAACCGAUUUGUGCUGUCUAUGCACAGGUAUAAAUUACUAUUGCAGCUGAAGGACAGAGGAAAAAAUCAGGCUGUGCAGAACGGCUGAUGUACUGCACUUGUCAUCACACUGCCUUUAACCAAGAUGUUCACAAGCUACUUAGCCAUAUAAUAAUAAAACUAUAGGUUCAUGAUGCAAUUUAGGGGAAGAAUAUUUAUAAUCUUUUAAAGUAUGCUGUGUGGGUGUGUAAAUUCCAAAUGGUAAGUAAGGUAACGUAGCUACUGACCUAACCUGACGAUUAGAAGUGACUCUCUUAGAUAACGUCCGUUGUAGUGGUUUUGAUUUGUAUGUAACCAAGAAAUGUCUACUCUUUCAGUCUAAUGAGUUUUUAGUGGGUCAUGAGAAAAGACUUUUCAUAAACAAAGUACCAUCUCAGUAGAUAAUGAUAACACAUUUAGGGAAAUCAUAGCAAGUCCCUGCUCUUCCAUGCAGUAUAUAUACACUUGAUGCUUUAAAUGUCGUACAGCUGAAAACAAUUAUAAGCCAAAUCUGGAAGAAAAAAAAGUAAUCAGAAAAAUCUAAAUGACAAUGGUUUAAGAACACUCUACUACACUGUUUUUCAAAGUUCGAGCUGCAACGGCAUGUCAGUCACCGGUUCACUCUGGUCAGCACCACUGACCAGGACAUUAAAAGUUCUGUUGGUGGUGCUGCCCAGCUAAGGGAGGCUAGUCUCUCUGUUUCGACACCGCGCUGUGCUCUGGAAGUGGCCAGCAGUGGCUCUGGCUUCUAGGCACGGGGGCCAUGGGGCUCCAUGUGCUAUCCCAACCCCAAGCACCAGCUCUGCACUCCCAUUAGCCUGCAGGCGAGAGUUGCACGAAGCCGCUUGUGUGCCUCCACCUAGGAGCUGGACCUGCUGCUGAUUGCUUCUGGAUGUAGUGCAGUCCCCAGUGCCAGGACAGGUAGGAAGCCUGCCUCUGCACCGUGGCUGCGCCGCUGACCAGGAACUUCUGGAGGCAAGUCCGCACCCCAACCCUGUGCCCCAAUCCCCUGCCCCAGCCCUGAGCCCCUCCCAAACCUGGAACCCCUUCCU